rnacentral:rRNA from 1 species
UACGGAGGGGGCGAGCGUUAUUCGGAAUUAUUGGGCGUAAAGAGCGUGUAGGCGGCCAGGUAGGUCGGUUGUGAAAACUGGAGGCUCAACCUUCAGAGGUCGACCGAAACCAUCUGGCUAGAGUCCGGGAGAGGAGAGUGGAAUUCCUGGUGUAGCGGUGAAAUGCGCAGAUAUCAGGAAGAACACCCGUGGCGAAAGCGGCUCUCUGGAACGGUACUGACGCUGAGACGCGAAAGCGUGGGGAGCGAACAGG